rnacentral:lncRNA from 1 species
AAAGACAAUGGUAAAAUGGCAUUUAAGAAAGUGCACUAUAAAUAAAACCAGAAAUCACUUCAAAGACAAAUAAAUAUGUUACAGCCAGAGGAGAACCAGCAACUGGCCUUGGUCUUUCAUUAGCCCCUACAGAUCACUAAUAUACUCCAAUAACCUUAAAAUAAAUAAAUAAAACCAAGUAAUGUCAACAUCAUGCGUUUUACACUAUUCUUCCCCCUUAUCGUCAUGCUCUUGGUCAUCAUCAUGCGUUUUACCAAACCUGUGAACAAAAGGAUUAUGCUCUGCAGCAUUCCUAAGACCCU